UGUUUCGGCUAGGGGGCCAUCCCGGCUUACCAACCCGAUGCAAACUGCGAAUACCGGAGAAUGUUAUCACGGGAGACACACGGCGGGUGCUAACGUCCGUCGUGAAGAGGGAAACAACCCAGACCGCCAGCUAAGGUCCCAAAGUCAUGGUUAAGUGGGAAACGAUGUGGGAAGGCCCAGACAGCCAGGAUGUUGGCUUAGAAGCAGCCAUCAUUUAAAGAAAGCGUAAUAGCUCACUGGUCGAGUCGGCCUGCGCGGAAGAUGUAACGGGGCUAAACCAUGCACCGAAGCUGCGGCAGCGACACUCAGGUGUUGUUGGGUAGGGGAGCGUUCUGUAAGCCUGUGAAGGUGUGUCGUGAGGCAUGCUGGAGGUAUCAGAAGUGCGAAUGCUGACAUAAGUAACGAUAAAGCGGGUGAAAAGCCCGCUCGCCGGAAGACCAAGGGUUCCUGUCCAACGUUAAUCGGGGCAGGGUGAGUCGACCCCUAAGGCGAGGCCGAAAGGCGUAGUCGAUGGGAAACGGGUUAAUAUUCCCGUACUUGGUGUUACUGCGAAGGGGGGACGGAGAAGGCUAUGUUGGCCGGGCGACGGUUGUCCCGGUUUAAGCGUGUAGGCUGGUUUUCCAGGCAAAUCCGGAAAAUCAAGGCUGAGGCGUGACGACGAGGCACUACGGUGCUGAAGCAACAAAUGCCCUGCUUCCAGGAAAAGCCUCUAAGCAUCAGGUAACAUCAAAUCGUACCCCAAACCGACACAGGUGGUCAGGUAGAGAAUACCAAGGCGCUUGAGAGAACUCGGGUGAAGGAACUAGGCAAAAUGGUGCCGUAACUUCGGGAGAAGGCACGCUGACAC
rnacentral:rRNA from 1 species